rnacentral:rRNA from 1 species
CGCGGCCUAUCAGCUUGUUGGUGAGGUAACGGCUCACCAAGGCGACGACGGGUAGCCGGCCUGAGAGGGCGACCGGCCACACUGGGACUGAGACACGGCCCAGACUCCUACGGGAGGCAGCAGUGGGGAAUAUUGCACAAUGGGCGAAAGCUUGAUGCGGGGACGCCGCCUGAGGGAUGACGGCCUUCGGGUUGUAAACCUCUUUCAGCAGGGAAGAAGCGAAAGUGACGGUACCUGCAGAAGAAGCGCCGGCUAACUACGUGCCAGCAGCCGCGGUAAUACGUAGGGCGCAAGCGUCGUCCGGAAUUAUUGGGCGUAAAGAGCUUGUAGGCGGCUUGUCACGUCGGGUGUGAAAGCCCGGGGCUUAACCCUGGGUCUGCAUCCGAUACGGGCAGGCUAGAGUGUGGUAGGGGAGAUCGGAAUUUCUGGUGUAGCGGUGUAAUGGGCAGAUAUCAGGAGGAACACCAGUGGCGAAGGCGGAUUUUUGGGCCAUUACUGACGCUGAGGAGCGAAAGCGUGGGGAGCGAACAGGAUUAGAUACCCUGGUAGUUCCCGCCGUAAACGUUGGGAACUAGGUGUUGGGGACAUUCCACGUCGUCGGUGCCGCAGCUAACGCAUUAAGUUCCCCGCCUGGGGAGUACGG